rfam:Ictidomys tridecemlineatus contig044641, whole genome shotgun sequence.
AGCACUUGCGUGUGUUAUUGUUCAACUUAUGGACAAAGACUUGUAGACAACUGCAACCCAGAACUCAUUGUUCAGUAUGAGUUUUGAUACUUAUAAGCAGGAAUACU